GUGUGUUUGGCGGAAGCUGCGAAUCACGUGUGGGAGGUGAGAAGUUGGAGGAGAAGUUAGUUGGCGGUGACUGACUUUGCCAAUGUACAGACAGACCGGUCUGAAUGAUAUGAGUGGCUGUUAGAGGGAGAGCGGGUCCCCCCCACACAGGUUAAACUCUGAAGCGAUCACAACUCCUGACUCCUGGGCGAGAUCGCAGAGAGAGAGAGAGAGAAAGAAAGACGUUGGUACGAAGAAGACAGCAGUGGAAGAAGUCAACCCCAACCCCA